GACAGAGGGUGCAAACGUUGUUCGGAAUUACUGGGCGUAAAGCGCGUGUAGGCGGCCCUGCAAGUCGGGUGUGAAAUCCCAUGGCUCAACCAUGGAAGUGCACUCGAAACUGCAGGGCUAGAGUCCUGGAGAGGAAGGUGGAAUGCUUGGUGUAGAGGCGAAAUUCGUAGAUAUCGAGCGGAACACCGGUGGCGAAGGCGGCCUUCUGGACAGUGACUGACGCUGAGACGCGAAAGCGUGGGGAGCAAACAGG
rnacentral:rRNA from 1 species